GGCCUAUAAUCUCUCUCUCGUUCUCUCCCCCCUCCCUCGUUUCCUAGAUUUUGCGGUGGGCACUCCGUUCCAUGCAACAGGCAGGGUGUUCAUCUGGACAGGCAGCUACUAACCUUAGCCAGAAGGGUAUUACAUGUAAAACUGACCCCAGAUCAGCAUCUACAGGUAACUUCAUUCUAUGGUGAGGAGAGCUGGAGAGCUGAACAGAUGAGUGAUUUCUGUUACAACAUCUGGUUGUUGCAUUGAGCUCCCUCUUCUCUGGUGAUUGAGGGGGAGGAUAUAGCUGGAGGUGGGUUCAAGACGUUUGGCUACUCCCAUCAACGGGGGGGCUGGAUGUGGAUGAGAACCGCUACCCCGACAUGGUGGUCGGCUCACUGGACGACCGCGUAGCCUUACUGAGGUCACAAGGAUCUGUUGUUGCAUUUACAUGGCCCGCCCAGUCAUUCACCUCAUCACAACUCUUGAAGUGACGCCAGAGAUCGUGGACCCAAAAGACUGCGAUAACUGUGUGGAGGUGGUCUGUUUCUCCUACACACUGAGCACUGGGGACAAGGACUUCAGGAAGAACGUCAGUGAGUGUGGUUCUGUUACAAUAUUGUUAUUAGAUGACCACUGCUCUAACACUAACACUGCUAUUUUAGAGUAGAACAGUCAUUCAAGUGAUCUUAUGACAAGAUUGCCAACAUGUAUGAAUGUCAUUUCCUA
rnacentral:lncRNA from 1 species